GAUGAACGCUGGCGGCGUGCCUAAUACAUGCAAGUCGAGCGAACAGACGAGGAGCUUGCUCCUUUGACGUUAGCGGCGGACGGGUGAGUAACACGUGGGUAACCUACCUAUAAGACUGGGAUAACUUCGGGAAACCGGAGCUAAUACCGGAUAAUAUUUCGAACCGCAUGGUUCGAUAGUGAAAGAUGGCUUUGCUAUCACUUAUAGAUGGACCUGCGCCGUAUUAGCUAGUUGGUAAGGUAACGGCUUACCGAGGCAACGAUACAUAGCCGACCUGAGAGGGUGAUCGGCCACACUGGAACUGAGACACGGUCCAGACUCCUACGGGAGGCAGCAGUAGGGAAUCUUCCGCAAUGGGCGAAAGCCUGACGGAGCAACGCCGCGUGAGUGAUGAAGGUCUUCGGAUCGUAAAACUCUGUUAUUAGGGAAGAACAAACGUGUAAGUAACUGUGCACGUCUUGACGGUACCUAAUCAGAAAGCCACGGCUAACUACGUG
rnacentral:rRNA from 1 species